AUUGAACGCUGGCGGCAUGCCUUACACAUGCAAGUCGAACGGCAGCACGGGUGCUUGCACCUGGUGGCGAGUGGCGAACGGGUGAGUAAUACAUCGGAACGUACCUUAUCGUGGGGGAUAACGCAGCGAAAGCUGUGCUAAUACCGCAUACGCCCUGAGGGGGAAAGCGGGGGAUCGCAAGACCUCGCGCGAUUAGAGCGGCCGAUGCCUGAUUAGCUUGUUGGUGGGGUAAAAGCCCACCAAGGCGACGAUCAGUAGCUGGUCUGAGAGGACGAUCAGCCACCCUGGGACUGAGACACGGCCCAGACUCCUACGGGAGGCAGCAGUGGGGAAUCUUGGACAAUGGGGGCAACCCUGAUCCAGCAAUGCCGCGUGAGUGAAGAAGGCCUUCGGGUUGUAAAGCUCUUUUGUCAGGGAAGAAACACCGGCUCUAACACAGUCCGGGAAUGACGGUACCUGAAGAAUAAGCACCGGCUAACUACGUGCCAGCCGCCGCCGUAA
rnacentral:rRNA from 1 species